AAGGGAGAUGUAAGUGAAAUAUUCGGCUUCGCCGAAUGUGAAAUACGCCUUCGGCGUGUGAAAUGUUUU
rnacentral:sRNA from 1 species